rnacentral:lncRNA from 1 species
AUGACACAUGGCAGUUGAUCUCUUUCUUUCGAUCGGAUUCACUUGGUCGUAGUGACUCUGAAUCCACUCGGCAUCAGUCAACUUGGGACUUUGAGGGUGCUAUUUUUCUUUUGUUUCUUUCUUUCUUUUUCUUUCUUUUGAUUUUGAUUUUGAUUUUUUUCCCUCUUCUUUUUUGUUUGUUUUUUUUAUUUUACAUUUUUUUUGAUGCCCCAGUUGGCUGUUCUGCUGAUUCUCGAGAUGCAGCUGAGUGAUCUUCUUUUCUUGCUCAAGAAGUCGGGAAAUAC